rnacentral:rRNA from 1 species
UACGGGGGGGGCAAGCGUUGUUCGGAAUUACUGGGCGUAAAGGGCUCGUAGGCGGCCAACUAAGUCAGACGUGAAAUCCCUCGGCUUAACCGGGGAACUGCAUCUGAUACUGGAUGGCUUGAGUUCGGGAGAGGGAUGCGGAAUUCCAGGUGUAGCGGUGAAAUGCGUAGAUAUCUGGAGGAACACCGGUGGCGAAGGCGGCAUCCUGGACCGAGAUUGACGCUGAGGCGCGAAAGCCAGGGG